UGCAUGGGAACACACCACACACAUGAUCCCCUCCAAAUCACAAUGAUUAGCUUAAGGAAAAGAGCUUUCAAAUAGACUAAAGUCUUUGAAAGAACAGCAGAUCCCCAACUUAAUUAAUUUCACUUAAAGGGAAUAACUAGCUUAAUCUGGAGAGAAAUCAUGACAGGAAACUUCAGUGUGUGCUUCUUGUGCAAUGUGGGAAAUAAGGGACGCUCCCAGUGUCCCUGACAGUUACAUUUGCAGGAAGUGUCUCCAUCUGCAGCUAUUGGCAAACUGCUCCUUAGAGCUGGAGCUGUGUGGGUGGACUCACUGUGGAGUAUCCGCAAUGCUGAGAAUGUAUUGGACAGCACGUUGAGCACUGAUUUCUCUGCUCAGAUCUGCUGAGCCUCUCCAACAACUUUGAGUCAUAGUGAUGCACAGCAUGGAAACAGACCCUUGGGUCUGUUUUUGUUUCUGAUUGACAGCAUCCACAAUUCUUUCAGUGUUUUGCUUAAUGUUUGACCAGUCGCAUGGUGUCUGCAACAUGGCACCUCACAUCUACCUUACAAAAUAAGAAAAAAGGGUCGAAGACUAUCUUAAAAUAUUUUGAGAAGGUUUAGUCUGGUCCAUAAUUGGUCUGAAUGGGUGUCUUUUUUAAGCCAACCUAUGUUCCAACUCCAAUCUCCCCACCACACACAAACAGAAAGCACUGAGUCUGUGUUGAACUUUUCGUCCCACUUAAACAUCGAAGUCGCUCACACUCGUUCCCAUCUGUUGGCGGCAAACAGCAGGUGCACGGUGUGAUCCUCGAGAUUACUCUUCUUCUCCAGCUGACUCUUCCCGGAAUGUUCCUCAGUGAUAGCUCUCUGCCGCCCUCUGUUGGAUACAGAGAUGAAGGAGUCACUGUCAAGGUCUGAAGUUAUUGACCAUCUUAACGAUCCUUAUGAAGUUGGUCAUUAGUGAACCAGAUGGGUUUUCCCAACAAUCAACAAUGGAUUUGUGGUCAUCUGGGUAUGCUGCACUUCACCAGCGAGGCCUUGACAGUAUCACUGAAGUGCUUCCUCCGUCCACCUGGGGCUCACCUGCUGUUUCAAAGCUGAGAGUAGAGCACCUGCUUGGAGAAUCUUGUGUCGGUCUUUUGGACCACAUGCAUUUCUCCUGGAGCUGUCACAUGAUGAAAUGACCGUUGUGCACCCAACUUCUGUGGCCAAAAGCCACGUGGCGAUUCCAGGAGGAGUUCCUCAGGGACAGGGAGGAAAUGGUUAAAAAGGACCUUGACGAUGACUUGUCCAACAGUCACUAUGAGAAAGAUUCCCCUGUAGUUACCACAAUCGGCCUUGGUUCCUUUUUUGAAAAUGCUCACAACUGUGGCAUCUUGGUGCUCUCCCGGGAUGCUCUCUUCCUUCCCCACGAUGACGGCAUAGCUGAAACAGUUUCAGUACUCAACACUAACAAUUGCCAAUUUCCAGAUGCCAUCCUACAAUUAGUCUGUUUCAUCCUUGACGACAACAUUUUCAUCUUUGACAAUUAGCUCUGCAUCCAGACACACAGAACAGCCACGGGGACAAAGUUUGCACCCUAAUACACCAAAAGUUUAGGGUGGAAGACUUUGAGUAAGACUUCUUUGUUGCACAGGACAUUCAACCAACACUAUAUACAUGAUACAUCAACAACAUUUUCUUCCUUUGGACUCACGGCAAGGAAUCACUGAAAUGACUACACAAUGAUAUCAACAAGUUUCAUCCCACCACCAGUCUUCUAUAGACUACUCUUUAGAAUCAGUCUUAUUCUUGGACACAUGCAUCUUCAUCAAGGACAGACACCUCUGUACCCCAAUCUACUAUAAGCUCACGGAUAACCUCAUGAUGCUGCACUUCUCUGGCUUCCACCCUAAACGUGUUAAAUAAACCAUUCCCUAUGGACAAGCCCUGCAUGUAUACAGGAUCUGCUCAGUCAAGGAAGAAUGCAAUGGACACCUAAAGAUGCUGAAAGAUGCCGUCAUAAAGUGACACAAUGCUCGAUUCAUCAAUUGAGGGAGGCAAAGAACUUUUUCAAAGUGAUGCUCAACACAUCAAUUGCCAGUUCCAACGUGCCACAGCAAAAACUGCGAUGACCUUCUCAGAGGACAGACACAGGACACAAUUGAUAGAGUGGCCUUCGUCGUCCAGUACUUCCCUGGAGUGGAGGAACUAUACCGUGUUCUCCUUCAGUAUGUCAUUGAUGGCAAUGAACAUCUAGCCAAGAUGAUCCUUACGCGUCCAAUUCUUACCUUCAAACAGCUGCCAAACCUUAAAUAGACCAUCAUUUGCAGCAAACUACCCAGCCUUCAGGACAACAUCGACUACAAUGCCACACAACCCUGCCAUGGCAAUCUCUGUAAGACAUACCAGUUCAUCGACAUGGAUACUAACAUCACACGUGGGCACACGACCCACAAUGUAAACGGCAGAUGCUCAUGUGACUCUGCCGAUGUUGGUUACCUCAUACACUGCAGGCAAAGAUUCUCUGAGACAUGAUAUAUUAAUGAGACUGUGCAGAUGCUACAACAACAAUUGAAUAGACACCACACAAAACUGUCUAGACAGGAAUGUUCUUUCCCAGACAGGGAACACUUCAGUGGUCAAGGACAUUCAGCCUCCAAUCGUCAGAUAAGCAUCCUCCAAGAAGGCUUUCAAGAUACACAACAGCGUAGAAUCGUCGAGCAGAAACUGAUAGUCAAGUUCCAUACCCAUAAAGAUGGCCUCAACCGUGAUCAUGUUGCGCUUCAUGUAACCCCACCAUACUGUUCUGUAUUUGUAAAAUCUUCUCUACUGACUUAUUUUGACACCAAAACUUUGGUAAUCUGUUAUAAUCUCUCUACCUUAAUUAGUUUGUACAGUUUUGGAUUAUUUGUUAAUUUGGUUAGACCCUCAGCAUGUGACUCCUAUAUCUAACAUGUUAUUCCAGCCAUUUGGUUUAUCUCCAGCACUACCUUGGUUUAAUUUUUGUAGUUAUCGCUCUGCCUCAAUUAGGAUUGUAGGUCAUCCUUUCACUUGCCAUUCAGCUGUUGACACUUUGCUCAUACCACUUGACACGUUUGAUCACCUGCAGAAACUUAUUAUUCGGUAUGUCCACUCACACCAUUCGUAUGACCUUUUGAUCUCUCUGCUAUAAAUUCUGUGCCUUCACUUCUUCCUAGUGAAGGGACAGUGGUCUGAAAGCUUGUGAUUUCAAAUAAAUCUGUUGGACUAUAA